rnacentral:rRNA from 1 species
UACGUAGGGGGCAAGCGUUGUCCGGAUUUAUUGGGCGUAAAGAGCGUGUAGGCGGCCAGGUAGGUCAGCUGUGAAAACUCGAGGCUCAACCUCGAGACGCCGGUUGAAACCAUCUGGCUAGAGUCCGGAAGAGGAGAGUGGAAUUCCUGGUGUAGCGGUGAAAUGCGCAGAUAUCAGGAAGAACACCCGUGGCUAAGGCGGCUCUCUAGUACGGUACUGACGCUGAGACGCGAAAGCGUGGGGAGCGAACAGG